rnacentral:lncRNA from 1 species
AACCGAGGACCCCAGCAGUGAGCCAGCUGCUACAGAGUUUGUCAGAGCUAGCCAGAGGUGAGUGGAAUAAACUUUAAGUUUUAAAAUAAACGAAAUAUGAAUUUUGGACAUGAUCCAUGCAUCAUGAAUGCCAUGAGAUAUAGUAGGUUGCUUGCAUUAGUAUUCACGAAUAUGUUGCAUUGCAUUUAUGAUGAUGAUGUGGAUUGGUCAUUGGAUGAUCCUUAGUCCUCAUAUGAUAUGAUGAUGCUACGGCAUGAGAUAUGGUAUGGAAGUCCAGGUUGUACCCAUUCUACGUCCCUGGCACAGUUGGACUGUAUGAUAUGUUAUGUUAAGGGAAAGACCGGUUGUACCCAUUCUACGUCCCGGCACAGUUGGACUAUGUAGAGGACUAUUGGUGACAAUACCAUCCGAGAUGUGAUUUGUUGUGAUGUGUUGCAUUACAUAAUGGCAUGAAAUCUUAAUAUAUGUUUUCUCUAUUCUGCUCACUGGGCUUUGUAGGUCACCCCUCUCCCCUAACCCCAGAUGUGCAGGUACAGGGUAGACCAGGAGGUUAGCCAGAGAUAUGAAGUGUAUAUGUAAUAGUUAGUUGUGGACAUGACAGUUGUAUUAUGAUGUAAUGUAAGAGAUUUCAGUAUAUUAUAGUUAUGUUAUGUGUAAUGAUAUUGAGGAUUAGAUAUUGUGCUUGACAUUAUGUAUUGAGGUAUCCCUUUUAUUACAUGAUCAAAAUGUUUUAUAAUGUUAUGGAAGCCAACUCAUCUCAUGAUGUAUUUGCCCUUUGAGGCAUUGUUGAGGUCCCACAGAGGGAUCAUAAUUAUGAUUAUGACUAUGUACAGUAUAUGUUCAGGUUGAGUUGGAUGUUUGAAAGAAAGGUUU